GGGCCCGCACAAGCGGUGGAGCAUGUUGUUUAAUUCGAUGCAACGCGAAGAACCUUACCACCCCCUUGACAUACUCGGAACUUUCUAGAGAUAGAUUGGUGCCUUCGGGAACCGAGAUACAGGUGCUGCAUGGCUGUCGUCAGCUCGUGUCGUGAGAUGUUGGGUUAAGUCCCGUAACGAGCGCAACCCUUGUCCUUAUUUGCCAGCGAUUCGGUCGGGAACUCUAAGGAGACUGCCGGUGACAAACCGGAGGAAGGUGGGGACCGACGUCAAGUCAUCAUGGCCCUUACGGGGUGGGCUACAAACGUGCUACAAUGGGAAGUACAAAGGGCUGCGAACCAGCAAUGGU
rnacentral:rRNA from 1 species